rnacentral:lncRNA from 1 species
CCUUGAUCUUGAACAUGCAUGGGUGACACACUGACACUAUUACAGCUGAAUAUGAUACGUUGUAGUAUAAGAUAAGUAUGACAGGUAAUUGCUACCAAGUACUGGACAAGUAUUUUUGUUUUUGUUUUUUUGCUGGAAGUAUACGAUCACACAAGAAGAGAAUGUAAGUAACCAGAAUUAUUAUUUUACAGGAAAGGAUCCUACUCUGGAGAGACUGGAUAGGCUGUUCGCGAGCGUUGAUUGGGAAAUAGACUAGCCUCAGGCCUAUAUUUCGGCAUUGAGCACGGAUGAGUCUGAUCAUGCGCC